rnacentral:rRNA from 1 species
AAGGCGAAGUGCAUGCCUCAGUAGCGGCGAGUGAAGCGGCAAGAGCUCAGAUUUGAAAUCGUGCUUUGCGGCACGAGUUGUAGAUUGCAGGUUGGAGUCUGUGUGGAAGGCGGUGUCCAAGUCCCUUGGAACAGGGCGCCCAGGAGGGUGAGAGCCCCGUGGGAUGCCGGCGGAAGCAGUGAGGCCCUUCUGACGAGUCGAGUUGUUUGGGAAU